UUCCAGACUCCUACGGGAGGCAGCAGUGGGGAAUAUUGGGCAAUGGGCGCAAGCCUGACCCAGCAACGCCGCGUGAAGGAAGAAGGCUUUCGGGUUGUAAACUUCUUUUGUCAGGGACGAAGCAAGUGACGGUACCUGACGAAUAAGCCACGGCUAACUACGUGCCAGCAGCCGCGGUAAUACGUAGGUGGCAAGCGUUAUCCGGAUUUACUGGGUGUAAAGGGCGUGUAGGCGGGGAAGCAAGUCAGAUGUGAAAACCACGGGCGCAACCUGUGGCCUGCAUUUGAAACUGUGUGUCUUGAGUGCUGGAGAGGCAAUCGGAAUUCCGUGUGUAGCGGUGAAAUGCGUAGAGAUACGGAGGAACACCAGUGGCGAAGGCGGAUUGCUGGACAGUAACUGACGCUGAGGCGCGAAAGCGUGGGGAGCAAACAGGAGUAGAGACCCGCGUACGG
rnacentral:rRNA from 1 species